rnacentral:rRNA from 1 species
CCUACGGGAGGCAGCAGUGGGGAAUAUUGGACAAUGGGGGCAACCCUGAUCCAGCCAUGCCGCGUGUGUGAAGAAGGCCCUCGGGUUGUAAAGCACUUUCAGUGAGGAAGAACGCCUGGUGGUUAAUACCCAUCAGGAAAGACAUCACUCACAGAUGAAGCACCGGCUAACUCCGUGCCAGCAGCCGCGGUAAUACGGAGGGUGCGAGCGUUAAUCGGAAUUACUGGGCGUAAAGCGCGCGUAGGUGGCUUGAUAAGCCGGUUGUGAAAGCCCCGGGCUCAACCUGGGAACGGCAUCCGGAACUGUCAAGCUAGAGUGCAGGAGAGGAAGGUAGAAUUCCCGGUGUAGCGGUGAAAUGCGUAGAGAUCGGGAGGAAUACCAGUGGCGAAGGCGGCCUUCUGGACUGACACUGACACUGAGGUGCGAAAGCGUGGGUAGCAAACAGGAUUAGAUACCCUGGUAGUC